AUAUUGGUUCUCUCCUGCUUCCAAAUUCUUUAACAAAGGCUGGAUGAGAUGGAGACCCUCUGUCACCAGAUCACAAAUAAACAGCACCAAUCAGCGCUCAUUGUGAAUAACUGCUCUACAACGAAGGACUAUAAACCAAAACGCAUCACAACUGUUAGAGAAAAUCCUGUUUUCACAGAAAGAAGAUUGGUCUUGUUUUUGCAAAAAUGAAUACAAAUAUAUAUCGUCGUGAGGUGUUGGUUCAUGAUAAAGAUUUAAUAAACUUCUGUGAACAAAUUGACAGUCAGUACCAACUGACUGAGAGUGAAGAUGUAAGAAUGAAAAAGAGUGCCUUAAAGCUACGGAACGAGUGGGUGGAACAACUGAAAAGCAGAACAAAGCAUCUUCAGAAAUUUAAUCGGGAUCGUCACAAACAGAUGCAAGCAUCUCUGCUGGCAACUGAGCCAACGCUCUGUAAAGCAGAAUCAGUUGCCUAAAGUAAUUGGUAGUUCGAUGUUUUGAAUUCCAAUCUGAAUUACUAUCCUAUUCCAUGAUGCUCUGUGUUACCCUAGGUCAAACAUAUCACUUUCUUCAUUUUAUAAAUACACAAUUCUUUUCUUAGAGGAUAGAUUAUCAAUGUGUACAUUCAGAAGUUUUGUAUAGUUCAGUCCACGUUACCAUCAACUAACUUGUAACAUAUACGCAAACUGUAAAGAAUGUAUUGAGUUACCUUUUUGAUUUUUAAAUUGCCAAAGCAAUGCCAGCAAAGUGUUGGCCAGGGAGCUCUUGUGCGGAGUGUGUCUGUAAUGUAUUCAUGCAAUCUGAUUACCCCUCAUGAUUCCAUUACAGGCACUGCUGGUUGUACAAACGAUGCAGCCCAUGUAGCUUUUAUUAGUGUAUACUGUAAUGUAUCUAAAAAUGUUUGAACUAAUUCAUAGUGCUGUCAAAAAUGAUGCUAUAAUCACACUAAAUACAUCUGAUUAAAAUUAUUUUACUAUUAAACUAGUUGUUAUAAUAUAUGCCCCUCACUAGGCUAUAUAACUUAAAUAAUAUUUCUCAACACAGCUUAAUACAGGAAAGUGGAAAAUAAAGGCUGUUAAGAGUUGUUAGACGCUAUAGUAGGUUAUGAACUGAAAUUCUGUCAAAAGUUCACUUUCAGAUUGUCAAGGGCUGGUUCUGUAAGGUUUUGCGACUUUGGUUUGUUAAAGUAUGAAGCUGAACUCAACUGGCUUGAGGUGUAGGAGGAGGACUGGGUUCGCUAGUGAAUAUGUUAAGAAUGAAAUUAGGAAUGUACCAUACUGUGUUUCCAGCAGUACAUUCAUUUUUAGCAGACUAACUGUAUUUAUCACUGCUGUUACUUUGGUUCUUUUAAUGGACUGGGUCGUGUAUUUAUUUUGUUGACUAGACUGACAAACAUUAAUAGGUUUGGAGUGACAGUAGCAGUGAGGUUGUCACAAAGAUUCAAAAUACUGUAUUUGAUAGACAUGAGCAUCCAAGUACCUUGUGUGAGGAUGUGCAUUUCAUCCUUGACAGUGAGCUGGUUAGGUCUCAUCUAUAAUUACAAAUAUAAAUAUAUUCUUUAUUGCAAUAGUUUUUUCUUCUGUAAGGUGUAAGCACGGUUAGCUAUCUGUUGUAUUAUGGGAGCUGCUAACGUGAGAUUAACUAUUUUAAGAAGCGCACUAUCAUAAUUACUCAAACAUAUGAUACAAAUGUUUGCUCUUUUAAUCGGCUACAAAUAUUAAUCAGUAUCCACAAGAAGUAUUACUACAAUUUGUCCAUCUUUGCUACUGCUGCAGUUAAGUAGUACAUACCUGUAAUUUUUUUAAUAUUUCUUACUGUUAAGGAAUUUUCCAUAAAACAAAUACUA